GUCGAGCGCACUUAUGAUCUUCGGAUUAUAGGCGAGCGGCGGACGGGUUAGUAACGCGUGGGAACGUACCCUUUACUACGGAAUAGCCUUUGGAAACGAAGAGUAAUACCGUAUACGCCCUUCGGGGGAAAGAUUUAUCGGUAAAGGAUCGGCCCGCGUAAGAUUAGAUAGUUGGUGGGGUAAUGGCCUACCAAGUCUACGAUCUUUAGCUGGCUUGAGAGGAUGAUCAGCAACACUGGGACUGAGACACGGCCCAGACUCCUACGGGAGGCAGCAGUGGGGAAUCUUAGACAAUGGGCGCAAGCCUGAUCUAGCGAUGCCGCGUGAGUGAAGAAGGCCUUAGGGUCGUAAAACUCUUUCGCCAGAGAUGAUAAUGACAGUAUCUGGUAAAGAAACCCCGGCUAACUCCGUGCCAGCAGCCGCGGUAAUACGGAGGGGGUUAGCGUUGUUCGGAAUUACUGGGCGUAAAGCGCACGUAGGCGGACUGAUCAGUUAGAGGUGAAAUCCCAGGGCUCAACCCUGGAACUGCCUUUAAUACUGUCAGUCUAGAGAUCGAGAGAGGUGAGU
rnacentral:rRNA from 1 species